rnacentral:rRNA from 1 species
UAAAGUUAAAGAGCCUCUAAGCUGUCGCACGCACCCCGAGAGCUCGAGAACCAAGCACGAAAGUAACUUUAAAAACACCUCACCUGACCCCACGAAAGCUAAGAAACAAACUGGGAUUAGAUACCCCACUAUGCUUAGCCAUAAAACAAGAUGUAAAACUACACAUACAUCCGCCCGGGUACUACAAGUAUUGCUUAAAACCCAAAGGACUUGGCGGUGUCUCAGACCCACCUAGAGGAGCCUGUUCUAGAACCGAUAAACCCCGUUAAACCUCACCACUCCUUGUUUCUCCCGCCUAUAUACCGCCGUCAUAAGCUUGCCCUGUGAAGGACUAGCAGUAAGUAAAAUUGGUACAACCAAAAACGUCAGGUCGAGGUGUAGCGAAUGAAGUGGAAAGAAAUGGGCUACAUUUUCUAUUCAAUAGAAUAACACGAAUGACACCCUGAAACAUAUGUCUGAAGGUGGAUUUAGUAGUAAAAAGCAAAUAGUGUGUCCUUUUGAAUUAGGCUCUGAGACGCGCACACACCGCCCGUCACUC